rnacentral:rRNA from 1 species
GACGAACGCUGGCGGCGUGCCUAAUACAUGCAAGUAGAACGCUGAAGGAGGAGCUUGCUCUUCUGGAUGAGUUGCGAACGGGUGAGUAACGCGUAGGUAACCUGCCUGGUAGCGGGGGAUAACUAUUGGAAACGAUAGCUAAUACCGCAUAAGAGUAGAUGUUGCAUGACAUUUGCUUAAAAGGUGCAAUUGCACCACUACCAGAUGGACCUGCGUUGUAUUAGCUAGUUGGUGGGGUAACGGCUCACCAAGGCGACGAUACAUAGCCGACCUGAGAGGGUGAUCGGCCACACUGGGACUGAGACACGGCCCAGACUCCUACGGGAGGCAGCAGUAGGGAAUCUUCGGCAAUGGACGGAAGUCUGACCGAGCAACGCCGCGUGAGUGAAGAAGGUUUUCGGAUCGUAAAGCUCUGUUGUAAGAGAAGAACGAGUGUGAGAGUGGAAAGUUCACACUGUGACGGUAUCUACCA